UCAGCGGCUAACUUCUAAAGAAGUAGUUGUCAAUUAACAAAGAUGGGUUGUUAGGAGUGGAGGAGCACAGAGUUUCUUUCCCUGAAGUGGCAGGACUGAAGCAGGUGAGAGAGCCCCAUCCAACCAGACAGCAAAACGUGGCAAAUGAUCCACGGAAGGAAGAGAGUAGUCUAACUGAGAGAUGCUUUGGCAAAUCCACUGAAGGGUGGGAGAGAGCCUUGUUAGAGGAAGGCUCACUCUCCACUGCCCAUUGUGGAAGAAAGAAGAGGAUAAAUUACUACAGAGAAGGACCAGGAGGGAGCAGCUGAGCUCUAGGUGGGGAAAAGGGUCAGAACAAGGAAAACAACUAUUGCAAUGCUUGGUGUUUAACCGGGAUUUAUUAGGUUGUUUGCUGUGUAAUGUAAUCUACUCCUCUCUCUCCUUGAAAUUUCUUAAGUAGAUUCUACAUUGUUCAUUCAUGUUUAUAUGCCAGUA